rnacentral:lncRNA from 1 species
GUAGAGUCAGGGCUAGGGGGCCCUGAAGCAGGGUCUGGAAAAGGGGGAUGGGGUGUGGGUGGUACGGGAUGCAACCCCCCCAAAAGAUAUCGAGA